GAACGGCAGCACGGAGCUUGCUCUGGUGGCGAGUGGCGAACGGGUGAGUAAUAUAUCGGAACGUACCCUAGAGUGGGGGAUAACGUAGCGAAAGUUACGCUAAUACCGCAUACGAUCUAAGGAUGAAAGUGGGGGAUCGCAAGACCUCAUGCUCGUGGAGCGGCCGAUAUCUGAUUAGCUAGUUGGUAGGGUAAAAGCCUACCAAGGCAUCGAUCAGUAGCUGGUCUGAGAGGACGACCAGCCACACUGGAACUGAGACACGGUCCAGACUCCUACGGGAGGCAGCAGUGGGGAAUUUUGGACAAUGGGCGAAAGCCUGAUCCAGCAAUGCCGCGUGAGUGAAGAAGGCCUUCGGGUUGUAAAGCUCUUUUGUCAGGGAAGAAACGGUGAGAGCUAAUAUCUUUUGCUAAUGACGGUACCUGAAGAAUAAGCACCGGCUAACUACGUGCCAGCAGCCGCGGUAAUACGUAGGGUGCAAGCGUUAAUCGGAAUUACUGGGCGUAAAGCGUGCGCAGGCGGUUUUGUAAGUCUGAUGUGAAAUCCCCGGGCUCAACCUGGGAAUUGCAUUGGAGACUGCAAGGCUAGAAUCUGGCA
rnacentral:rRNA from 1 species